GACAGCCGAUGGCCGCGAUUUCCCUGUUCUGGAUUUUUCAGCUUCCUCCUGACACGGCCUGGAAUUCACUUCUAGCUUUCUUUCAAAUCGAGGCAGCUCUCCCGCCUCGGCCUUCCGAAUACUAAGAUUACAGGCACGCGCCACCACGCCAGGCUCAAAAAUGUCUUUAUAAAUCGUUGCUAAGUACAGUAACGCAUGGAGUGAACAAGACUGAAGUUUUUCUCAAAAACAAAACAAACAAAAGAGCCACCACCUCUGCAUCUUGGUUUAAGUUCGGACAAUAUCACGGACUUACAUGAAAAUACUACUUUGUAUCUGGCAACCUGGUGGCCAGAGUAACACCGCUUUGCAGAUUCCCCUAAAACCUCACUCAAAAAGGUGUGGAGCAGAGGCAGGAGGCUGGAAGCAUUUCCAGAGAGACCCGGACUCUUCAAGCCAGUAAAUAGCUGGGUGAAGUGGCGCUUGCCCACCUGUAACCCCAGCAUUUGGGAAGUGGAGACAGGGGGAUCAAGAGUUCAAGGUGGAGCAGUCGAGUUCGAGGUCACCUGGUUUUUACCCUCCCUUUCAGCAAGACUCCUACUGUCACGGAAGGGC
rnacentral:lncRNA from 1 species